GCCAGGUGUGGUGGCACAUGCCUGUAAUCCAAGCAGCUCAGGAGGCUGAGGCAGGAGGAUCGUGAGUUCAAAGCCAGCCUCGGCAAUUUAGCAAGGCCCUAAGUAACUUGGCAAGACCCUGUCUCUA
rnacentral:sRNA from 1 species